rnacentral:lncRNA from 1 species
AGUGACGAAAAACUUUUGUUUUUCUAUUAAUAAAAAUCAAUUACUGUUACAAAUUGGACGAUGAACUUGAAAAUUAUUUAACACUAAACACAAAAAGAAAAAAAAAAAAAAGAGAGAGAGAGAGAGAGAGAAUCACAUGGAGAAAUAUAAACAAAUUCAUUUUCAUCAUAUACAUGCAUGUUCGACGCAAAAGCAACUAAUUAAUUAAUCCUUAGUCUCUAGCUAUAGCCGCGGCCGCGGCCGCCGUGAGAGGGUGAACUUUCUUGUUCCGGCUGGUUUUACUGCUCUCCACCGCUGUCGCUGCCGCCGCCAUUGUUGUGCCUUGUUUGGCUCUAUUUUCCGCUUCCACUUUCUUCAUUAAUCUCUCCUUCGCGCGCUUUUGCUGCACGUGAAUCAGCGCGUAGCUUGCACCCAUGGAAGACAUAUUGCUUCAAUUCAAAAUAUUACAAUCUUGAAUAUUAUAUUUAUUUAUGAGGCGUUUGUAUACAUAUAUAAAUCUUGAAUAUAUAUAUAUAUUUAUUAUAAGGUGUUUGUAUAUAAAUUUAUGUGUAGAUGGAGAGCAAGAAUUUAUAGGCAUGCAACAAUGCAAGUGAGAUAUUA